UCUGUCUUGCUGUGGAGCGUCAGUGUGUUGUGCACUCCUGUGGAGCUAACUCGUGCUGCUAAGACAGACUAACCAGCUUGUCACAAAUCUGACUAGCCUCCGGUCUCAAGCUAGGCGCUAACCUCCACAGAUGCUAUACCUGUAUACCUAAGCACUGUGAGUGUAUAGUAUAUCUUAUUACUUUUUAUAAAUAAAUAUUUCUUUUAAGUAUUCUACAAUAGAUACUUACAUUACUACUCUUCUCCACAGUUGGCCACUUUGUUUCUGGGUGCUGCCCCUUCCCUCUCCGAUGGUUGGGGACUGUGUGAAUCCCAUCUGCAGCGGUUUCUUACUUUUUCCUGCCUAGGAUACCCUUGUGGCUGUCAACUCGUGUUCAUCCGGCCUGAUCUUUCAGGCAUGUGAUGGUAUCAGGGUAUUACACACCCUGUUGUCUUCUUACUUCCACUACGGACCAGCAGAAUCCAAACUCUGAUCUCAACCACCCCUGAAGAAGCCUAACCAGGCGAAAUAUAUAGGGUUUACCAACCGGGUUGUGAUCUCUGUUACAGUACCUAUGUCUGUUAUGGAAACCUUUUAACUUUGUUACAUUUGUUCAGGUUAUUGAUUUAUGUAGUGGGCUCCUGUAGAGUCUAUGAUAUGUCCUUCAACCUGACACUACGCUGUCUUUUAAUAAAUUAUUAAAAUUUACAUUAUUUGUUCUAUUUUCCUUUACUGUUUUUGCAUGCACCGCUACAGUCCCGCCAUUGUUCGACAUUCCCAUAUUGAAAAACAAGCCGACAUA